rnacentral:ncRNA from 2 species
AACUGCUAAGUGCAGAUAGGUGCCUCGAGGUUCGAGGUCAAAAGGGAAUUGGGUUCAAGUCCCAAACGGUCCCGCCACUGUAACCGGAGAGUUGCUUUACAGAUAUCCACUGUUCUUCAAUCCCACUGGGAAAAGGAGGAUGGGAAGGAGUAAAGUCGCUGUGAGACGGAAGUCAGGAAACCUGCCUAUUUGCAAAAGGAAAG